rnacentral:rRNA from 1 species
GAUGAACGCUAGCUACAGGCUUAACACAUGCAAGUCGCGGGGCAGCAUGUCGGUUGCUUGCAACCGAUGAUGGCGACCGGCGCACGGGUGAGUAACGCGUAUCCAACCUGCCCUUCACCACGGAAUAAUCCAGUGAAAAUUGGUCUAAUACCGUAUGAGGUCAUACGAUGGCAUCAGAAUAUGACGAAAGGUUUGGCGGGGAAGGAUGGGGAUGCGUCUGAUUAGCUUGUUGGUGAGGUAACGGCUCACCAAGGCGACGAUCAGUAGGGGUCCUGAGAGGAAGGUCCCCCACAUUGGAACUGAGACACGGUCCAAACUCCUACGGGAGGCAGCAGUGAGGAAUAUUGGUCAAUGGGCGAGAGCCUGAACCAGCCAAGUAGCGUGCAGGAAGACGGCCCUAUGGGUUGUAAACUGCUUUUAUAUGGGGAUAAAGUGAGCUACGUGUAGUUUAUUGCAGGUACCAUAUGAAUAAGGACCGGCUAAUUCCGUGCCAGCCGCCGCAGUAA